ACUAACCCAGCCCAAGUUGGCUUUCACGACUAACCUAGGUCGUUCCCUUUCCUCCGCCUCCCCUACUCCUCUCGAGCCCUCCCACCUCGGCCGCCGCUGCUCGUCAGUCGUUGCCACUCCUUUGCACGACUGUGACCUACCUGCAUCCCUGCACGCUGCCCCUCACCACUCGCCUGCGAUCCUCUCUCCCGGCGCCGCUCCUCACCGCUGCCCUGCGACCCUCCGUCCUAGCGCGCCGCCCCUCGUCACCACCCUUGCAACCCUGCAUCCCGGCGCGCCGCCCCUCGUCACCGCUCCCCUGCGACCAACGGUGAAUCCAAGGUAUGACCAUGAACAAGCACAGGCAACCACAUCCCUCGUUCCACAUCCGUAGCCCCUCGCGGUACCAAUGCAUUAUCCACAUCUGUAGCCCCGUUCGUCCUCCUCCGGUGCUCCUCCUAAUUGUUUUCCACUAUUCACAUGUCCUCUGUGUAAAACGAUCCAGGAAGCCUCUUUUUUUGCGAAUAGGAAUCCUCUCCCUGAUCCCUGCUCUGGAACCUUUUAAUAUCCACUGCACCAGGACAUCCUUCCAAUCUCGCAUUCUAUGCCCAACGAAAACUGAAAUCCAAUGCAGUGGAGAAGGCGGUACAUCAAAGAAAGUUUGUAUCUGAUUGGACAGCCUCUAUUGUUGAUGAAGUUCUGGAGAAGAGGAACUAUUGCAGGCUGGUCGCAGGUAUGGAAGGAGCAAGAAGAGAUUUCAGACAUCUGAAGAUACACAUUACUUGGAUGGCUAAAUUAGUAGGUGCUACACAAGCAACUAGGUGAUUCAAUUCAGCGAAGGCGUGGUCGUACCUCUGCACAGCGAACUCAAGCACCACUUCUAAUAUUGUUGGAAAGUGGAUAAGUCGUUUUGGAGCAUUACACGAUUUGUUCAGUCUACUUCGCUAUGUUCCUUACAUGCAAAAGGUAUGGGUUUGUUUACUUGAUAUGUUCUUUCAAUUUUUCCUCACCCAGUGAUCCACAUCUUAAAAGCACAAACUACUCUGUUCAGAUGGAAUAUCUUUGAUAGUGUUGUUGCAGACUUGAAGGUAUAUGCAUCAGGAGGUCAAGGUGGCAGUGGCACCGUAACAGUAUUUAUUUGAAACUACACGCGAGGUCAAAAAAUGAUUCUAAGUUAACCUCUUUCCUCGUAUAUUUUUGUCUGCUUGGUUUGUUUUAAUGUCGUUCUUUUGUUAAAUUGAUGUACUAAAUAAUUAAGAACAUAUUUGUAUUCAUUUUUAAAAUUUCAUGCAUCUGGUGUAUGGUGCUAGAACUUGCUUAGGAAGAGCUGUUAUGAAAUUAAGAUCUGGUUUUUGUAAUUCGCUGACUGAAUCCAUGAUACUAAACUGUAUGUUUGUUAUAGUUCAUAUAUAUGUUAUACAUACACGUGCAGUUACUAGGCAUGCAUUGUGAGUAGAUAAGUUGAGUCUCCAAUUAUUUCGUUAAGCACAAAAUAUGACCUUGCAUACAUGUAUUUCCAUUCUCAUAUAAUGGAAAAUAUACUGAAGGGAAGACUCAUGCUGUAUGCUUCUGAUUCAUGUUGAAAGUGUGUAACCUGUUUGCCGCAAUUUUUCCUUUUCACAUAAUAGGAAAAGGUCAGUAACAAAAAAAGGAAGCUCACUGAGCACGUCAAUACAGAUUACCUGACGAAAGCCCAGGCGAUGAAUAGGAUAAUCAAGUUGAGAUCCCACCGAGGACGUAUAAUGGCUGAAUGAACUUCUGAUCCACGCUUUGGCAAUCCCGUGCCUCCAGGUGUGUAGGUUCAAAAGAUAAAUGGAUGAUUAUAUGGGCACGUGGCAAAUAUACUGAUGAUGAUGAUGAUGAUGAUGAUGAUGCUGGAUGCUUUCAAUUUUAGUUCAGUUGUAGGAAUGAUGUUCCUCUGUUAAGUUUUAGUUAAGUUGUAGUGAUGUUGAGGGAUACUUUCGGUUUUUGUUUUGUUGUCAAGAAAAUAUAUAGAUUAUGCAUCACAUUUGGAUGAUGUUCCUCCUGUAAUAUCCAUUGUUGUAAUCCAACAAUUAUAUAUAUAU